rnacentral:rRNA from 1 species
GACGAACGCUGGCGGCGUGCCUAACACAUGCAAGUCGAGCGGAGUCGAUCGACGGAAGCCUUCGGGCGGAAGAUGGUUGACUUAGCGGCGGAUGGGUGAGUAACGCGUGGGCAACCUGCCUCGAAGACCGGGAUAACAGCCCGAAAGGGCUGCUAAUACCGGAUGUGGUCAAGGAUCCGCAUGGAUUUUUGAUUAAAGGGGAAACCCGUUUCGAGAUGGGCCCGCGUCCUAUCAGCUAGUUGGUGAGGUAAAAGCUCACCAAGGCGACGACGGGUAGCCGGCCUGAGAGGGUGACCGGCCACACUGGAACUGAGACACGGUCCAGACUCCUACGGGGGGCAGCAGUGGGGAAUCUUCCACAAUGGGCGAAAGCCUGAUGGAGCGACGCCGCGUGAGCGAAGAAGGCCUUCGGGUUGUAAGCUCUGUCUGGAGGGACGAAGGAAGUGACGGUACCUCCGGAGGAAGCCACGGCUAACUACGUGCCAGCAGCCGCGGAAAAGUACUACUAU